rnacentral:rRNA from 1 species
UACGUAGGGUGCGAGCGUUGUCCGGAAUUAUUGGGCGUAAAGGGCUCGUAGGCGGUUUGUCACGUCGGGAGUGAAAACUCAGGGCUUAACCCUGAGCCUGCUUCCGAUACGGGCAGACUAGAGGUAUGCAGGGGAGAACGGAAUUCCUGGUGUAGCGGUGAAAUGCGGCAGGAAUAUCAGGAGGAACACCGGUGGCGAAGGCGGAUUCUCCGUGGGCGAGUUACCUGACGCUGGAGG